rnacentral:rRNA from 1 species
UACGUAGGUGGCAAGCGUUGUCCGGAUUUACUGGGCGUAAAGAGCGCGCAGGCGGUCGUUCAAGUCGCGUGUGAAAGCCCCCGGCUCAACUGGGGAGGGUCGCGAUACUGAUCGACUCGAAGGCAGGAGAGGGUAGUGGAAUUCCCGGUGUAGUGGUGAAAUGCGUAGAUAUCUGGAGGAAUACCGGUGGCGAAGGCGGCAUCCUGGACCGGCAUUGACGCUGAAGCGCGAAAGCUAGGGGAGCAAACGGG